AGAGUUUGAUCAUGGCUCAGAUUGAACGCUGGCGGCAUGCUUAAUACAUGCAAGUCGAACGGUAACAGAUUCUUCGGAAUGCUGACGAGUGGCGGACGGGUGAGUAAUACAUAGGAAUCUGCCCAUGUAGUGGGAGACAACUUGGGGAAACUCAAGCUAAUACCGCAUAAUUCCUACGGGAUAAAGAGGGCCACUGCUUGCAAGCUCUUGCUACUGGAUGAGCCUAUGUCGGAUUAGUUAGUUGGUAAGGUAAUGGCUUACCAAGACAGCGAUCCGUAGCUGGUUUGAGAGGAUGAUCAGCCACACUGGGACUGAGACACGGCCCAGACUCCUACGGGAGGCAGCAGUAGGGAGUAUUGGACAAUGGGCGCAAGCCUGAUCCAGCAAUGCCGCGUGUGUGAAGAAGGCCUGCGGGUUGUAAAGCACUUUCAAUUGGGAAGAAAGAUUAUGAGUUAAUACCUUAUAAUAUUGACG
rnacentral:rRNA from 1 species